GAUGAACGCUGGCGGCGUGCCUAAUACAUGCAAGUCGAGCGAACGGACGAGAGGCUUGCUUCUCUGAUGUUAGCGGCGGACGGGUGAGUAACACGUGGAUAACCCACCUAUAAGACUGGGAUAACUUCGGGAAACCGGAGCUAAUACCGGAUGAUAUUUUGAACCGCAUGGUUCAAAAGUGAAAGACGGUCUUGCUUUCACUUAUAGAUGGAUCCGCGCUGCAUUAGCUAGUUGGUAAGGUAACGGCUUACCAAGGCAACGAUGCAUAGCCGACCUGAGAGGGUGAUCGGCCACACUGGAACUGAGACACGGUCCAGACUCCUACGGGAGGCAGCAGUAGGGAAUCUUCCGCAAUGGGCGAAAGCCUGACGGAGCAACGCCGCGUGAGUGAUGAAGGUCUUCGGAUCGUAAAACUCUGUUAUUAGGGAAGAACAUAUGUGUAAGUAACUGUGCACAUCUUGACGGUACCUAAUCAGAAAGCCACGGCUAACUACGUG
rnacentral:rRNA from 1 species